AAAAAAAUAUAAGUAUGAUAAAAUGCACAUACUAAAUAUAUAAAUCUUAUUAUUUAUAUAUCCGUGAAUCUAAAUAAGAAUUUCCUUUUAUAUAUACCCACAAAGCCAUGCAAUAAUUUCUUUUGCUCCAAUCGUUUGUGACAGCCACAAAUAUAUACAAGUGGGGGAAAAGUGAGGCAAAAAUAAUAUUUUAUCAAAGUUAAUUAAUUUUUUUUAUUAAAAAAACUCAAAUUUAAAUUUAAUAACACAUUAUCUAAACUAAACUUGUGACUUUGUGGUUGCAGGCUCUCUUUCCAUAAAUAAAGCCUAACAUACCUGUGAAAAC
rnacentral:misc_RNA from 1 species